rnacentral:lncRNA from 1 species
GCCCUGCGGCUGUGCCUGGAUGGAAGGAAGAGAACCCCUGAGGUGACAGAAGCAUUGUGACCUCAUGUUGAGCAGGGGAACAUGGGGAAUUCAGGGCUGGUGGUGCCCCUUGGCCAUCCCAGGGGAGACACCAAGGGCUGGGAAAUGGGCUUGGAGUUCAGGGGAGGCUCCAGGAGAUGUGAACCUGGAAAUGGCCAGAUCAGAGGUGACACAGCCGCAGCACUGGGGAGGCCGCCAGGGCAGCCACGGUGGGAGGCGACAGGGGCUGGGACAGAGCCCGGGACUCUGCCACUGUUGGGGAUCAGGAGGUAAACAUUGGAUCGAGUCAUUCACACUAGUAUAAAUGAGGCUCAGUCCCAAGUCUGACAGUAGCCUCUUGUUUGCUGACCAGUGAAGAGGAGGACCAGAGACUCACCCAUGGCCACUCAGCCAGGCAGGACAGCACAGGACAGGACUGAAACCCAGGGUCCUCCUGGGGCAGCAGCUUCCUCCCAGAAGUGGUUCAUGGUGGAGCCCCAGGCAUUGUCUCUCAAGAAACGGUCUGCAGGACAUGGAAGUGAUGGCUGGAGCUGUGGCAGCCAUUUUGCACCAUGAGACAAACUUGUGGCAGCAGCCAUAUAUAAAAGAUGGAGGAGCAGAAAGACAAAAGGAAUCCGGAUAUCUCAUGACCACUGAAUCAUCAUCACACCAGCCUUGCAUCAUCUGCCUCUGGUACUUUUUUUUUUUUUUUUUUUUCUG